GCGUGCCGUCUGCUUGAAAUUCUGUCUUGCUCUCCCUCUGCUCUUCCCGCUCCUGCUGUUUCUCUAAAAUAAAUAAAUCUUUAGUGGAAAAAAAUAGAUGCGGGCUGGAAGUUCAGCACAGUGUGCGCCAUGCUGGGAGGAAGGGGGAGACGGGGGGUGGCGCUGGAGGACGUCAGCCCAGGAGAAGGCAGGAGACAAGGAAGGCUAGAAGCUACGACUCGGCGAGGCGAUGGAAGACGGCCCGUGAGGCGGUGGAAUCCCACGCACACCUGUGGGCAGGCAGACCCGCUGCAGAUGCACAGGACCCCGGGGCGGGGGUGGAUUUCGUGGCUCCUGAGUAAUGUUUCAGUGAAGCCGUCAAUAACUCUUUUGACUGAGCUCCAGUUAAGAAACACUGUAACAAAGGCUGGUGUGGCUGUACUGGGCAGAGCGGACCAGAGGAUAAACAGCGCUGUGGAGGGUGAGGCCUAGAAACACCCGGCAGAAGUCCGGUGGAUACGGAAGGUCUAGAUGAGAGUUGAUGAGCUUGAUCUAAGGACACAGAGCGGUGUGAGUGGGAACAAGGUGCGGACUCCACCCACAUCUGGAGCAGCAACGAGAACUGACUGCCUGGUCCAUGAAGCAAGUUCUCUGUUUCAAGGAAUCGACGUCCUACCAGGCGUGUUGUCUGGCCGCGGCAUGAUUUAGUUGUUAAAGUUAAGACGUGAUUGUAGAAGUUUCGUGUUCAGAAGUUUAAAAACGUACUUCUGAGUUACCUGUGUGUCAUUGUGGGAGAUGGAACCUAUCGCCAAGUGUCAACACUGAAAAUGCCCUGAUUCACCUUCUGGGCCUCCCCAGGCCUGGCCGUCACCCCCUCCCUGGCCCAGAGCUUCGGGGCUGCCGGUGUGCGGGACAGGGCGGCGCGUGACGUGCUCUGGGGCGGGUGACAACACAAGCAGCGCAUCCAGGGGCAUCAGUGGGCGAUAGCACAUGGACAAUAGAAGAGCACAGAGUGGGUCGGGGAGGCCUGACAGACGCUCGGAUGCUCUGUGCCUCAGGUGGGGAAGAGCCGAGCGCAGCAUCGUGGGAGAAAACCUCCGGGGCCGAAUGUCAGGAACGUUUCCAGAACCAAAUGGUGGCAGUCCCCAGUUUCAAAGGUACCCCCCGCUCGGGCGGAGGGAAGCAGAUGAAGAUUGCCCUAACCAGAACCCCUCCUGCACAGGAACUGGGGUUCCAACAUCCCAAAGGUCGUGGUAGUAGGAAAAGUAAUAAGGGAAAGCUCACUAAAACAGAAUCAAGAGGCCAGAAAGAGGAGCUCUCGUGCACUCUGUCACCCGGAGUCAGUCACAGAAAGAACUGUCACACACCCCGGCAGAAGGAUCCUCCACAGGAGGGAAUCAUGUCUACAGACCCGACAGAAGGAUGGACGCUUCAUCUCCUGUGAGAAAACCACUCCCCCAGCAACUCAGCCAGUGGGAAACUGCCCUCACGCUGAACUCCUGCUCUUGUCCAGUGGACUUCGGUUCAGGACAGCCCCUUCUAACUUUCUCCUCGUAAAAUAACACUUCUUUCUUUGUUGGAGUUGUCUGCGGUUUUACUGUAGCUUGCAUGUCCCGAAUUGCAAUUCUCUGCUAUUCCCGAAUAAACCCAUUUUGUUGGUAAAGUACCGGCGGUUUUAA